rnacentral:rRNA from 1 species
AAUAAACGCUGGCGGCGCGCCUAACACAUGCAAGUCGAGCGAGAAAGUUUCUUCGGGAAUGAGUACAGCGGCAGACGGGUGAGUAACACGUGAGAAUCUGCCCUUUAGUGGAGAAUACCCUCGAGAAAUCGAGGUUAAUACUGCAUACGUCCUACGGGAGAAAGAUGGCCUCUUUGCUAUCGCUAAAGGAUGAGCUCGCGCACUAUUAGCUAGUUGGUGGGGUAAUGGCCUACCAAGGCGAUGAUGGUUAACCGGCCUGAGAGGGUGUACGGUCACACUGGAACUUAGACACGGUCCAGACUCCUACGGGUGGCAG